AAGUCGUAACAAGGUGUAGGUGAACCUGCGGAAGGAUCAUUAACACGUAUCCAACGUUAAACCCCCCCGUGAACGUACAUUCCUUCUCCGCUUACAGAAAAUUGGUUGCAAUCCCUGGUAAAUCAUCGCCGAACAGUUUUGAUUCAGGGACUUCUAACACGUAAAUGGAAACUAAAGAGGAUAGUAGCUGUAUCUUUGUAAGUAGAAAGGUCACGAGAUGCUGUAAGAUAGACCGCUUUAAUCAGCGGGUUACCAGAGGCCGACACGGCCGGUAAUCGGAUCCCGGGCGUCGUUCCUAUAGGAACGAGUAUACGUCCCUCUUGACCCCUUGAAACGAGAGGGUGUCGGCAAACGUUAUGGCUCGACUUGCUCGCACUCUAACGGGUGACGAGUACAAACGAACAACUGUUAACAAUGGAUAUCUUGGUUCUC
rnacentral:misc_RNA from 1 species